rnacentral:rRNA from 1 species
UACGUAGGGCGCAAGCGUUUGUCCGGAAUUAUUGGGCGUAAAGAGCUCGUAGGCGGUUUGUCGCGUCUGCUGUGAAAAUCCAGGGCUUAACCCUGGACCUGCAGUGGGUACGGGCAGACUAGAGUGCGGUAGGGGAGAUCGGAAUUCCCGGUGUAGCGGUGAAAUGCGCAGAUAUCGGGAGGAACACCAGUAGCGAAGGCGGCACUCUGGGCCGGUACUGACGCUGAGGAGCGAAAGCGUGGGGAGCGAACAGG